rnacentral:misc_RNA from 1 species
UAACCAAUCAAGCCUGGCUUGGUGUUGGGGUUCGCGAUUCCAGCGGCCCUUAAAACCAGUGGCGGCGCCAUCUGGCUCUAAGCGUAGUAAUUAUCCUCGCUACAGAGUCCUGGUGGAGGCUUGCCAUAACCUAACUACUCAC